GAUAAAAUCACAAAGUUCAAAUAAUCAGUGUAAGCUUGUGAAAAAAAAACUCACCCUUAUUCUGAAUUAAAUAUGAAAUAAUAAAAUUCCUAUGUAACAAUUUUGAAUCCUGACUUGCAUUAUUGUUGAAUUGAAGUUCAUCAAAUAUUAUGAAGAUUAUUCAAUCUCACCAGCAUUUUUGUUAUUUAUCUAAGUAAAAAAAAAAAAAAAUGAAGACUUUCAAAGUUAUAAAAAAAUGUAGAAAACUCACUAUUAAUACACGGAGAACUAAGUGCAAUCAAAGAAUUCAAAUUUACUGCUUACAACAUUGUAACUCUUAAUCGUGAGCAAAUGACUAAGAUUUUUCAAACAACAAUGAGUUACUUCACACUUUUAAGAAAUUUUGCGUAAUUUUGGCGAAGCUCAAUGU